CAUUAUCCUCCAUCAUGUUCAUUAAGUUUCUUUCAAGCCUCUGAGAAUUGACAAAUGCCAUUUAAGAAUUUCUCAAACAUUCAUCUAAAUACAGGUUUCAGUACAUGAUGAUCUUCACAUCAUACCGUGGUGAAAAAGGAAAAACAAGAAGACUUUGGAGUGCUGUUUCUUUUUUUCAAAACAAAGUUAAAGUCAUUCAAUUUUCUAUUCUGUUAUCAGGUCUUUCCAACACUUGGUACUGAUGUAGUUACUUUUUCCUUUAUAACAGUUGAGAGUCUCUGUUUAACAAAGUAAGACGGCAACUCAAGGUUGGUCUCUUAUUCUUAUUUUUAAUUUUUGUUUUGUUUAUAGUUUGUUUUAAAUUUAAUUGAACCAUGAAAUCUGAAGGUCUAUUGAGUACAAAUCUAAGCUUUGUUAAUUUGAACAUCUUAUGAAGGUUGGACUAACAUUUUUCACGUUAUCUUCUAUGGAUCUUCUCAAUUCAGCAAAAAGCUGCUGGUAUUCUAAGUGAAAUAUAAAGUGAAAAUCUAUUAUACUUCUUUGGUCAAAAAUAUAUAAUGUGUGAAUAUUUUGUGUUCAUGAUGACAUUCUGCUCUCACAUCAAUGGGGUAAGCAUUUUUCCCCAAUAGUAUUUAUUUCUCAGUAAUACUGAUGAAUUUGGGCUGGUUCAUUUACAUGUUUUUAUUUUAUUUAGCUCACUUCAUGACCAAUGGCAUAUCUUUCUUUUACAGCUGGGCAGAGUUAAGGAAGCAAACUUUUGUUUCUGUAAAAAAAACAUUAAUAGUAUAUUCAGAGACUGUACAGAUGGCCUUAAUUUCAUUAGAUUCAGGCUCUGAAGAAGUGAACUAAGCCUGUUUUUUUUAAAAAAAAAACUUUCUAAUUUCAAUUUAUUAUUAUUAUUGCUAUUGAAGCAAAAGUAUCUGUAAAAGUAUUAGACUUCCAAAUUUCUAGGCUUCAGCUUGGUAAAUAACAUCAAUAGCUUGUCUUCAGUUGCUUAUCUGGUUCCUCCAUAUCUGUGGUUCCACAUCUGUAUAAUCAACAGACCAUGAUCCGUGUAGUGUUAUAGUAUUGACUGUUUGGGGGAUGCACCCUGCAGGCCUGCAAGCUUCAGCCUCAUAGUGAACUCAAAGUAAGAGCCAGAUACAGCUACAGAGACAGCCAAAAUUGAAUAUGGUAUCUUACAGUUCAGAAGUAAAAUGUCUUGGAGCAACAUCCCACCAUAUAUGGAAGAUGGCAGGGAGACAUGGCAUCAGUUAGCUCUAAACUUUCUAAUUUUAAAUAUAGGUUCAUAGAAAGGUUCGGAAAUGUACAGGGAGGUCCUAUGCAUCCUUCACCAAGCCUCAUUCUAUACUUAUAUCUUGCAAAACUAUAGAAUUGACAUAUAAUGCAUAAUAAGACUAUUCAGAUUUCAACUUUUGUGCAUGGCUGAUUUGUGUGUGUAUGUAUAGCUAUAUUCAAUUUUGUCACACAUCAUUUCAUGUCAGAAAAAUCACAAUCAGGAUAGUAAAAUGUACCUUCACCAUGAGACUAACUCCUGUUACCCACUUAUAUACAACACACCCACCACUUACCGCUUACCCCCUUAUAGCUGGCAAUCACUAAUCCUUUUCCCAUGUAUUUAAUUAAGUUACUUCGCAAAUAUUAUAUAAAGGGAAACAUUCAGUACACAUCCAAUUGAGACUGGAGUUUUUCAUUCAGUGUAAAUUCCCUAAGUUCUAUCCAAGUUUUUGCAAGUAUCAAUCACUUAUUUGUUUUUAUUGCUGGGUAGUAUUUCAUGGUGCGGAGGUACCACGGCUGUUUUCUUUUUAACCAACCACAUAUGAAAGAAUAUGUGGAUAGUUUCCAUUGUUUGGCUAUUACAAAUAAGGCUGCUAUGAAUAUUUGUGUACAAGUUUCUGCAUGAAAACAAGUUUUCAUUUUGUUGGGAUGACUAAGAAUGCAAUCAUUGUGUCAUAUGGUGAGUCCAUUUUUAGCUUUAAAAUGAACUGCCAAACUAUUUUCCAGGGUGGCUACACUAUUUUAUAUUCUCAGCAGCAAUGUAUGAGUGAUCCAGUUUUUUUGCUUCCUUGUCAGUAUUUAUGGUCUAUAUUUUUAGUUUAACCAUUUUCCAGGUAUGUGAUAACGUCUCGCAGAUAUUGAAUAUAGUAGGACCUGUGCCAUAUAGUAGGACCUGUGCCAUAUAGCAGGACCUUGCCAUAUAGUAGGACCUGUGCCGUAUAGUAGGACCUUUCCAUAUAGUAGGACCUGUGCCAUAUAGUAGGACCUUGUGGUCUAUCCAUUCUAAAUGUAAUAGUUUGAAUGUACUAACCCUGAAGCUCCCAGUCCAUCCCACUCCCUCUCCUCUCCCCCUUGGCAACCACAAGUCUGUUCUCUAUGUCUGAGUCUGCUUCUGUUUUGUAGAUAGGUUUAUUUGUGCCAUAUUUCAGAUUCCAUGUAUAAGUGAGUAAGUGAUAUCAUGUGGUAUUUGUCUAUAUUUGACCUACUUCACUUAGUAUGAGAAUAUCUAGAUCCAUCCAGGUUGCUGCAAAUGCCAUUAUUUCAUUCUUUUUUUACAGCUGAAUAGUAUUCCAUUGUAUUCUACCACGUAUUAUCUGUCCAUUCAUCAAUAGACAUUUAGGUUGUAUUAUAUAUAUAGAUAUGUAUAUAUAUCCAUAUAUAAAUAUAUAAAUAUAUAUCCAGACAUAUGACCAGGAGUGGGAAUGCAGGACUUUAUGGUGACUGUUUUUAGUUUAUUGAGGGACCGUCAUAGUGUUUCCCAUAGUGGAUAUAUAUAUUUAAUGGAUCGUGCCUUGGUGUCAAGAAUAAAAACACUUUGCUUAGUCCAAAUACGAAAUAUUUUUUUUCUGUAAGAUUUGUAGCUUUAUAGUUUACAUUUCAGACUCUGAGGUUUAGGUUGAGAUAUGAUUUUUGUUUGUUUUGUUUCAUUUUUAGCCUAUAGAUACCCAACAGCUACAGUACCAU
rnacentral:lncRNA from 1 species